CCUACGGGAGGCAGCAGUGAGGAAUAUUGGUCAAUGGACGAGAGUCUGAACCAGCCAAGUAGCGUGAAGGAUGACUGCCCUAUGGGUUGUAAACUUUUUUUAUAUGGGAAUAAAAUGUUCCACGUGUGGGAUUUUGUAUGUACCAUAUGAAUAAGGAUCGGCUAACUCCGUGCCAGCAGCCGCGGUAAUACGGAGGAUCCGAGCGUUAUCCGGAUUUAUUGGGUUUAAAGGGAGCGUAGGUGGAUUGUUAAGUCAGUUGUGAAAGUUUGCGGCUCAACCGUAAAAUUGCAGUUGAAACUGGCAGUCUUGAGUACAGUAGAGGUGGGCGGAAUUCGUGGUGUAGCGGUGAAAUGCUUAGAUAUCACGAAGAACACCGAUUGCGAAGGCAGUUCACUGGACUGCAACUGACACUGAGGCUCGAAAGUGUGGGUAUCAAACAGGAUUAGAUACCCGAGUAGUC
rnacentral:rRNA from 1 species